UUGGACCUGAUAUCAGGCAA
rnacentral:rRNA from 9 species